CCUACGGGAGGCAGCAGUGAGGAAUAUUGGUCAAUGGACGAGAGUCUGAACCAGCCACGCAGCGUGAAGGAUGACUGCCCUAUGGGUUGUAAACUUCUUUUAUAUGGGAAUACAAUGUUCCACGCGUGCGAUUUUGUAUGUAUCAUAUGAAUAAGGAUCGGCUAACUCCGCGCCAGCAGCCGCCGUAAGACGGAGGAUCCGAGCGUUAUCCGGUUUUCUUGGGUUUAAAGGGAGCGUAGGUGGAUUGUUAAGUCAGUUGUGAAAGUUUGCGGAUCAACCGUAAAAUUGCAGUUGAAACUGGCAGGCUGGAGUGCAGUAGAGGUAAGCGGAAUUCGUGGUGUAGCGGUGAAAUGCGUAGAUAUCACGAAGAACUCCGGUUGCGAAGGCAGCUCACUGGACUGCAACUGACACUGAGGCUCGAAAGUGUGGGUAUCAAACAGGAUUAGAUACCCUGGUAGUC
rnacentral:rRNA from 1 species